rnacentral:lncRNA from 1 species
CUCCUAAGCCCAGAGAAGAGCUAUGGCUCAGCCUCUGCAUCUCCUGACCUUCCUUCUGCUCUGAAACGGCUCUAACAGAUUCAAGCUCCUCACUCUCACACAGCCACAGUCAGAGGCAAAAGUCAGUUGGCAACUUGGGGCAGGAGUUUCUCUUGUCCCUCCUUCCUCUUGUCAGAAUGAAAGUCAUUCUCAGAAGCUUCCAGAAAACUUUUCUUACCUAUCAUUGGCCAGAACAGGGUCACCUGCCCAUCACUCACAAGAUCAGGCGAAUACCCCACCUACAUCCCAGAUAUCAGGUAUCUCAUCUUGGCAGUAGGACCAGGCAGGGCUCUGUUAGUAAGAAGAGGGGAGGCUCUGAAGGAGGAAGUGGAUGGUGUUGAUCCCAGUAUUUUAUUUCUCCACUCCUUCUGUGUCUUCCUUAGGGAACUAGUUAUCUACAUGUUUGAUUCCCAUUGUCAGUCUAUUUUGCUCAACUGUUUCCCUCUUGUUUUCCAUGUUAUUUUCUCAUCCUGUUUUUCACAUCACUGACAGAGUUUUCUGUCAUGUUGAUUCUGUUCUUUGUAGUUUUUAGAUUCUGCAAAAGAAUUAAUUCUCUCCUCAAUUAUUUUCUGAGCUGCUGGAUCCUCCAACCCGCUUCAUAUUCUGAUAUUUUAGUUCAUCUUUCAUCUCCUGUUUCAUCAGUCUUUUGCAAACUCUUGUUUCUUUCUUUUACUUUGUAGGAUCAAAUAUUUGUGUAGGCCUCUGCUAGCUUUUUUUUUUUCCUGCUUUUUCAUCUUUGAUUGGAGUCUUUCUGUUUGUUCUGCUGUUUGCCUUGGCAAACCUGUGCGUUUGCAUUCCUUUGACCCUGCCUUCUGUCAGGACCCUGAAGUCUGAGCACAUGAGUUAGAGACCUACAUGUAAUGGCUUGUGUUCUUUGUGUGGUCUCACAGCUGCCUGGUGAGGGUGGGAGGAGAGCAUGGGCUCUGGGCAAUGGAAGUUGCUGCUCCACUUGCUCCAGUUCUAUGAAAACCACAGAGAAACAGUCUCCUCUGGGUGGGUCUUCCUGUUUCACUAGGAGUGCCUGUGUGGUUCUGCUCCCUUUCCCCUCCUCCCUGUCACCCUGGGCCGGCUGUGAUGUGGCCUCCUUGUGGGUCAUGGACUUUCUGUCUCCUCACCCCUCUGCCCCGUGUCUGCUGCCUUUACCAUCUGGGUCUACUGCUCCUGGAAUGGCGUUUCUCAAACUGACUCCCGUAAGAGAAAUACAUUCCAAGACAGAGAAGGUACAGAAGACUCUGGGAUCACCAGACUUCAGAGCAUGUUCAUGCUUUAUGAAGUAAAUACAAUUCUU